ensembl:lncRNA MIR9-2HG MIR9-2 host gene
UUCACUCUCCACUCCGAGGCUCAGGGAGCAAGUGCCUGGCAUGGGGGGUAAAAGUUGGCUUUUUUUUUACUCCUUGGUCUUUUGCGCCCUUCUCCCUCUCCCCAGAAGGGAAGACCCAUUUAAACUAUUUUAGACGCAAUCAACCAAGAAUCACCAUGUGGAAUUGAGCGGCAGUUUUAAAUGUGUUGAGCAGGGGAGAGGAAUGAUGAGAAAAACAUUUUUUUUUUUUUUUUUGGAGACGCCGAAAGAAGCCUGUUUGUGUGCUGCGGCCGUGCUGUGACUUUGGAUCUUGUCUUUCAGCCGGCGCCUCGGUUCCUGCCCAGCUGGAUUUGGGGGGCAGCAUUGCCUGGCGCAGGGAGAUCAAAUGAGACUGCAAAGAAGCAUAAAAUGAAUAGACAAUCCAACCAACCAAAGGAAAUUGCUUUGGAGAUGAGGAAACAAACUCUUAUGGAUUCUCUUCAGAGGACAAGAGAAGAUGUUACAUUCUCUGCAUGAGGACAAUUCUGCAGCAUCAAAAUCGAAUAAUAUUUGUUUUCUGGCAGCAGAAUUUUGUAUCAUAUUUCUAAAGACAGUAAGCACUUGGGUGGACGUCAAUGAAUACUAAACACUAAUUGAUCUGAUACAGCCGUAUGCACAUACACAGAUAUACAUGGUGGCUUGUAAUGGUUGAAAAAUUACGGUUUGGUUUUAUUAAAAGAUCUGUCACUUUUAGGUCAGAGUGGGAUUUUGGAGGGAUAGUCUCCCACAAUAGAAAACUACCCUGACAACAGUGGUGUUUUGAGGUUGUUUGUUGUUUGGCUUCUUGAUGAUGCUUAGCUAAGGAGACACUUCCUUUCAGAUUCUGUCUUCCAAACCCCAGGGCUCUGUUCUGGGCAGUUCAGCCUAAUGGAAUUAAGCCUGACAUGUUUCAACUCUAUUUCUUGAUAAAAUAAACAUAAAACAAUGGUUUAGAUUUCGAAUAAAACUCUUGAAGCAUGGGGUACUCUAACUUUCCCUGUUCUUUACACAUCUGUAAAUAAAGUGCAUAAAAGAGGAACACAACAGGAUAAAUCAACAUAAAUUUGAAAUCCACUGCAGCAUAUUAAAUGGCGCAGUCUCAGUCAAAGAGAGGCUGACCCCGCGGCUUCGUGCAGUUUGAAGCUAAUUGUUUUCGUCAGGAUGGGAACGUCUGGAAGUCCAUGGCUGUAUCCCACCAGUAAGGCUCCAGUAACUGAGCCGGCCCACAGAGAAUGGGCCCACUUUGUAGCGACACAGCGGGCUCAGACACCACCUAUUCUGCUCUCCAAACUGUCAUGCAUAACAACUUUAUUGUGCUAAAUUGAACUUGAAAGCAACCAAAGGCUAUGAGAAGGAGAGGCUAUGAGAAAAGCGUGCUGUCAGCGCCGGCAAAGGCUGACCUGGAAAGUAGGCUCAGAGACAGGGGAAUAAAAGACCAGGCCCCAUGAACACAGCAUAUUGUUUCAUUUUAAAGUAUGAUUCCCAUACCAGAGAAAGUAGCAAAUGUGAUGUAAAUUUAUUUAAAUAGAUUCGACCGCUUAAAAGUUUGCCAGCCGCUCUUAUCCAACUUUCCCAGCUCUCUGAUUCGUUACUUACAGUGGGAAUAUAAUGACAUAUAGUCAUCAUUGUAACAGCUUCUUUGCAGGGGCACAAUGAUGAUUAAUAGCCAGCAGCAAAUUUUCACAUGGGCUCUGAAGCACUAUGGCAUUAAGCAGCCAAACAGUCCCAAAUCCCCCUUUUCUGUUCCGCUGAAAAGUCCCCUCCUUGUACCUUCCAGAUAGGAACAAAGCCUAUCUUAAUUCCAAUCAGCUUUUCGUCAUUCAAAGGGACCUUCUCUUUUUCAUAAUUGAUUCAUGUGCAUUUUUUAGUGUUCCACUGAGCUGAAGCCACUUUUCUCCUUUCCUCUGUUCUGUCCCCACACCCACACCCCCUUUUUUUGAGGGGGUGAGGAGUGGGAAACAUUUCAACAACAACAACAACAGUAAAAAAUGGUGUGGUAGUUUCCCCCGCAAAUAUUUGCUAAAUAGAUUUCUCAAUUAGUAUUAGCUUUACACUUAAAAGUCUUAAAACAAAAA